CUUUUCUUCUUUUUUCCAGUUUGAAUGGCUGUACAGCAGGCUGUGUUCCAGGCCGAGAAAAAGAGCUGGAUCUGCUGCUGGCAUCGCUCACUCUGCUUUCAGCCCGACUUCCAAUAUCUGCUCUCUGACC